rnacentral:rRNA from 1 species
GAUGAACGCUGGCGGCGUGCCUAAUACAUGCAAGUCGAGCGAACAGACGAGGAGCUUGCUCCUCUGACGUUAGCGGCGGACGGGUGAGUAACACGUGGAUAACCUACCUAUAAGACUGGGAUAACUUCGGGAAACCGGAGCUAAUACCGGAUAAUAUAUUGAACCGCAUGGUUCAAUAGUGAAAGACGGUUUUGCUGUCACUUAUAGAUGGAUCCGCGCCGCAUUAGCUAGUUGGUAAGGUAACGGCUUACCGAGGCAACGAUGCGUAGCCGACCUGAGAGGGUGAUCGGCCACACUGGAACUGAGACACGGUCCAGACUCCUACGGGAGGCAGCAGUAGGGAAUCUUCCGCAAUGGGCGAAAGCCUGCCGGAGCAACGCCGCGUGAGUGAUGAAGGUCUUCGGAUCGUAAAACUCUGUUAUUAGGGAAGAACAAAUGUGUAAGUAACUAUGCACGUCUUGACGGUACCUAAUCAGAAAGCCACGGCUAACUACGUG